rnacentral:rRNA from 1 species
AACGAACGCUGGCGGCAUGCCUAACACAUGCAAGUCGAACGAGACCUUCGGGUCUAGUGGCGCACGGGUGCGUAACGCGUGGGAACCUGCCCUUAGGUUCGGAAUAACUCCCCGAAAGGGGUGCUAAUACCGGAUAAUGUCUUCGGACCAAAGAUUUAUCGCCUUUGGAUGGGCCCGCGUUGGAUUAGCUAGUUGGUAGGGUAAAAGCCUACCAAGGCGACGAUCCAUAGCUGGUCUGAGAGGAUGAUCAGCCACACUGGGACUGAGACACGGCCCAGACCUCUACGGGAGGCAGCAGUGGGGAAUACUGGACAAUGGGCGAAAGCCUGAUCCAGCAAUGCCGCGUGAGUGAUGAAGGCCUUAGGGUUGUAAAGCUCUUUUACCCGGGAUGAUAAUGACAGUACCGGGAGAAUAAGCUCCGGCUAACUCCGUG